UCUAUGUUAUACCUGUAGUGGGGGGGGUUACAAGAGGAGAGUCAGACAGACGACAAUGCAGCACAUUUAUAGUCAUUUAAGUAACACCUCUUACACUCAGUUUCAUGGCAGCGGACUACAGGUCUGUCAUUUAAGUAACACCUCUCACACUCAGUUUCAUGGCAGUGGACUACAGGUCUGUCAUUUAAGUAACACCUCUCACACUCAGUUUCAUGGCAGUGGACUACAGGUCUGUCAUUUAAGUAACACCUCUCACACUCAGUUUCAUGGCAGCGGACUACAGGUCUGUCAUUUAAGUAACACCUCUCACACUGUUUCAUGGCAGCGGACUACAGGUCUGUCAUUUAAGUAACACCUCUCACACUCAGUUUCAUGGCAGCGGACUACAGGUCUGUCAUUUAAGUAACACCUCUCACACUCAGUUUCAUGGCAGUGGACUACAGGUCUGUCAUUUAAGUAACACCUCUCACACUCAGUUUCAUGGCAGCGGACUACAGGUCUGUCAUUUAAGUAACACCUCUCACACUCAGUUUCAUGGCAGCGGACUACAGGUCUGUCAUUUAAGUAACACCUCUCACACUGUUUCAUGGCAGCGGACUACAGGUCUGUCAUUUAAGUAACACCUCUCACACUCAGUUUCAUGGCAGCGGACUACAGGUCUGUCAUUUAAGUAACACCUCUCACACUCAGUUUCAUGGCAGCGGACUACAGGUCUGUCAUUUAAGUAACACCUCUCACACUCAGUUUCAUGGCAGCGGACUACAGGUCUGUCAUU